AAGUCGUAACAAGGUUUCCGUAGGUGAACCUGCGGAAGGAUCAUUAAUUAAACGCGAAUGGCCGGGCCUCGUCACCACCCCUUCUGGGGGGUGGAAUCCUGGGGGGCCCGGUGUCCUUUUGAUUAUCUCCCAUCUGUGAACUCUUCCACUGUUGCUUCCGUGAGCCUGUACUCUGCUCUCUUUGGGAGUCGGAGCACCUGAAAAAGCCCUGGUUCUGCCAGGGGCGCACGGCAAUGGUACCACAACUCUGGUUUUAUGUUGUAUCAGUCUGAGUGGUUAACACACAAACAAGUAAAA
rnacentral:misc_RNA from 1 species